rnacentral:misc_RNA from 1 species
GCAAACUUGGUCAUUUAGAGGAAGUAAAAGUCGUAACAAGGUCUCCGUAGGUGAACCUGCGGAGGGAUCAUUACACAAUAACAUAUGAAGGCUGCUCGCGGCUGGAGUAUUUGUUACCCUUGUCUUUUGCGCACUUGUUGUUUCCUGGGCGGGCUCGCCCGCCACCAGGACCACAUACAAACCUUUUUUAUGUAGUUGCAAUCAGCGUCAGUACAACAAAUGUAAAUCAUUUACAACUUUCAACAACGGAUCUCUUGGUUCUGGCAUCGAUGAAGAACGCAGC